GACCUUGCCCGAGAGGGUUGGGUAAUCUUCUCAAAGUGCAUCGUGAUGGGGAUAGAUUAUUGCAAUUAUUAAUCUUGAACGAGGAAUUCCUAGUAAGCGCGAGUCAUCAGCUCGUGCUGAUUACGUCCCUGCCCUUUGUACACACCGCCCGUCGCUCCUACCGAUUGGGUGUUCCGGUGAAUAACUCGGACUGCUGCAGUCUUCUGCUUCUGAAAACUGUGGCGGAAAGUGUGGUGAUCUUAACACC
rnacentral:rRNA from 1 species